UGAUGCAGCGACGCCGCGUGAGGGAUGACGGCCUUCGGGUUGUAAACCUCUUUCGCCAGGGACGAAGCGCAAGUGACGGUACCUGGAGAAGAAGCACCGGCCAACUACGUGCCAGCAGCCGCGGUAAUACGUAGGGUGCGAGCGUUGUCCGGAAUUACUGGGCGUAAAGAGCUCGUAGGUGGUUUGUCGCGUUGUUCGUGAAAACUCACAGCUUAACUGUGGGCGUGCGGGCGAUACGGGCAGACUGGAGUACUGCAGGGGAGACUGGAAUUCCUGGUGUAGCGGUGGAAUGCGCAGAUAUCAGAGGAACACCGGUGGCGAAGGCGGGUCUCUGGGCAGUAACUGACGCUGAGGAGCGAAAGCGUGGGGAGCGAACAGGAUUAGAUACCCUGGUAGUCCACGCCGUAAACGGUGGGUACUAGGUGUGGGUUUCCUUCCUUGGGAUCCGUGCCGUAGCUAACGCAUUAAGUACCCCGCCUGGGGAGUACGGCCGCAAGGCUAAAACUCAAGGAAAUUGACGGGGGCCCGCACAAGCGGCGGAGCAUGUGGAUUAAUUCGAUGCAACGCGAAGAACCUUAC
rnacentral:rRNA from 1 species